rnacentral:tRNA from 2 species
GCUUCCAUAGCUCAGUUGGUUAGAGCGUCGUACUAAUACUUCACAUCGAGUAUCCGGUAAUGCGAAGGUCUCAGGUUCAAGCCCUGGUGGGAGCA